rnacentral:rRNA from 1 species
AUUGAACGCUGGCGGAAUGCUUUACACAUGCAAGUCGAACGACAGCACGGGGGCAACCCGGGUGGCGAGUGGCGAACGGGUGAGUAAUACAUCGGAACGUGCCCAGUCGUGGGGGAUAACGUAGCGAAAGUUACGCUAAUACCGCAUACGAUCUACGGAUGAAAGCGGGGGACCGUAAGGCCUCGCGAGAUUGGAGCCGCCGAUGUCAGAUUAGGUAGCUGGUGAGGUAAAGGCUCACCAAGCCGACGAUCUGUAGCUGGUCUGAGAGGACGACCAGCCACGCUGGGAGUGAGACACGGGCCAGACUGAUCCGGGAGGCAGCAGUGGGGAAUUUUGGACAAUGGGCGCAAGCCUGAUCCAGCCAUUCCGCGUGCAAGACGAAGGCCUUCGGGUUGUAAACUGCUUUUGUACGGAACGAAAAGGCUCUGGUGAAUGCCUGGGGCUCAUGACGGUACCGUAAGAAUAAGCACCGGUUAACUACCUGCCAGCCGCCGAGGUAA